UACGUAGGGGGCGAGCGUUGUCCGGAUUUAUUGGGCGUAAAGAGCUCGUAGGCGGCUUGCCAAGUCAGGGGUGAAAUCCUGCAGCUCAACUGUAGAAGUGCCUUUGAUACUGGCGAGCUCGAGGGAGGUAGGGGUGGGUGGAAAUUCUGGUGGAGCGGUGAAAUGCGUUGAUAUCAGAAGGAACGCCGGUGGCGAAAGCGACCCACUGGAUCUCUACUGACGCUGAGGCGCGAAAGCUAGGGGAGCAAACGGG
rnacentral:rRNA from 1 species